rnacentral:rRNA from 1 species
GAUGAACGCUGGCGGCGUGCUUAACACAUGCAAGUCGAACGAGAAAUGAUAUUACGAUCUCUUCGGAGUGACGGUUUUAUUUCGAGUGGCGGACGGGUGAGUAACGCGUGAGCAACCUGCCCUAUACCGGGGGAUACCAGUUGGAAACGACUGUUAAUACCGCAUAAGCGCACGAUAAGACAUCUUGUUGUGUGAAAAACUCCGGUGGUAUAGGAUGGGCUCGCGUAUGAUUAGCCAGUUGGCGGGGUAAAGGCCCACCAAAGCGACGAUCAUUAGCCGACCUGAGAGGGUGACCGGCCACAUUGGGACUGAGACACGGCCCAAACUCCUACGGGAGGCAGCAGUGGGGAAUAUUGCACAAUGGGCGAAAGCCUGAUGCAGCGACGCCGCGUGAGUGAGGAAGUAUUUCGGUAUGUAAAGCUCUAUCAGCAGGGAAGAAAGAAAUGACGGUACCUGAGUAAGAAGCUCCGGCUAAAUACGUGCCAGCAGCCGCGGUAAUACGUAUGGAGCAAGCGUUAUCCGGAUUUACUGGGUGUAAAGGGAGCGUAGGCGGCAGAGCAAGUCUGAUGUGAAAGCCCGGGGCUCAACCCCGGUAGUGCAUUGGAAACUGUUCAGCUCGAGUGUCGGAGGGGUAAGCGGAAUUCCUGGUGUAGCGGUGAAAUGCGUAGAUAUCAGGAAGAACACCGGAGGCGAAGGCGGCUUACUGGACGAUUACUGACGCUGAGGCUCGAAAGCGUGGGGAGCGAACAGG